CUCCGUCCUCCAGCAUUUUGAGAGUCUCAGAAAGAAAACCUCUUAUAAAUGCAGCCUUUCACGUGAAGCUGUGAGCUGGCAAACCGCAGCACAGGAUCAGGACGGACCUUUAUGGGCUGAUUAAGACUUAAAGAUGGACUGCACAAAGGAUCCGGACAGACAUCGGCAAAUAAUUGAUGUCUGGCUUUGCCAUUGUCCUGGAUCAGGACUAUGAUCUAGCCUGUCAAUCACGUCCUGGACUCAGCCAUCAGAAGCCAGUGACAUUCACGUCUCCGGGUCCUCGGCCUUUGAGAUUGAGAGACGCCUGGGAAGAGCUUAUGGAGUCUUGAGAUGACUUUGUGGUCAGUGGAAGGGGAAAAGCGACCAGAAGGAGGCUGAAAGUCAUAAACCCCAGACUUAAUGUUGGAAGCGCUGUGGGCUACAGAGGCCAAGUGGCGCUGAUUUUAGCAAGUGAUGAAGAAAAUGGGGUGAACAAGGUCUGCAUUUAGUGUCGGCUGCAGAAAAAAACAUGCGGCUCACUUUGAUUUCUGCACUCUGAGGCUUCAGGACACAGUGAAAGAAA